rnacentral:SRP_RNA from 1 species
CCGUGCUAGGCGGGGCGGUAGCGGUGCCCUGAUUCCCGCUUGUCGGGAUGACCCGCAGUCCGCUAUAGCGGGGCUGAAUCCUCCGCCGAGGUGCCCGCUCUGGUGGAUCACCUCGUCCGACGCGGCGGCGAUGAAGGCCGGGUCCUCUGCAAUGCCGGGCCGCCAACCUGGUCAGGUCCGGAAGGAAGCAGCCAUAAGCGAGCAUUCGGCAUGUGCCGGAGGGUUGCCUGGCUGGAGCUGGCCCGUCGGGCGGGGCCCGUUGGAGCGCAUCGACGCGGAGUGCACGG